AAUGGAUGAAAGACUGGGAAUAAAAACAAACGGACUGACUGGUAAAAGAUGACAAGACUUGACCAUGACUCAAGGUUAACCACCUCCACCUAGAUAGGAUAAAAGGGUGGAUGAAUUUAUGUGGGUUUCUUUUACAGGAGUAGAAGGAUGACAAAAUAUUCGAGGAUGAGUGAACCUGUAAAUGCCAUUUUUGUGUCUUGUGUUGCUUACAGAGGUAACUGCGCAGCGUUACCAUUUACAUUUUCUUCCCUACAGGGUUACAGUUUUAAUGUUUUUCUAUUACAGGAUUUCUGGGCGGAUGUGUGAAGAAACGGUGUUUAUGGGUUAGGAGUUGGGGAUGCUAUUACACUGUAUUUACAGGAAAUGUUUUAUAGCACCUAUGGAAUGAGGAUGCCUGACUACGGUCAAUGUGCUGCUAAUGUUUGCUUUGCUUUGGUGAGAGGGGUGCAGUAGAAAACAGACAAGUGACAUGAAAACAAGUAAUAAUAACAAAUAACAAAUUUGGGGACAGUUUGACCUAGAGCCCACUAACUGGCCAUUAGGGGCUCUCUCUCUCGCUCUCUCUCUCUCUCUCUCUCUCUCUCUCUCUCUCUCUCUCUCUCUCUCUCUCUCUCUCUCUCUCUCUCUCAGGUUGUUGCUCUUUAACUCCUAGAACACGCCCUUGGCGAGGUGGGGGGAACUGGACCACCUUUCUGUGCCCCAUCAUCCUCUAUUAGACGACAUCCAAGCUAAGUAAACAUGUCUUGGCCCUUUCCCCCUGAAAUGACAGGCAGGCAAAGAUGUUGCGUCUUUGUUUGCUUCCUGGCCCUGGGUCUCAUUCCCAUUGGCAUAAUCCUGAUCUGUGAAGGGCCCCCGACACUUCUGACACCUUCAAGUUCAAAAGCUUCGCCCCCUUCUGACAGUCCCAAUCUGACAAAUGUAGCCCCUAGGGUCUUGCCCACCACUUCCUCUCCAGUUUUGCCCACGCCCGAUCCAUUUAGAAAGAAACGAGACACGGUUACCUCCUCGCCAACGGAUGAUGAAAACUCUGAUCGUGAGGGUGACGAACAUUAUCGUCUUUCUCUUGUUUAAAUGCUUCUAGAAUGGUUGUUUCUCUGUGGUGUUUUGUAUUAGGCUUGUUAUUAAUUGUUUCCCUCACCCACUUCCUCUUGAAGGAUAUAUCUGGUUGAACUGUGUCUGGUCGGGUUGUGAGGGUUAAGCGAUGUUCUCAGGGUCUCCGGACUUAAGCCUGAGCGAAUGUGUACUCCCACCACUGGAUAUAAAUUGUUUUAUUCCACACCCCUUCCUCACGUUUUACCAUAUUCACUUUUGAAUGUCCUUAGCAGUUACCGUUCUGAGUUUAUUUUACGGUUGAUUUAUUCUUUCACAUUUUCACGUUUAUAUCUCUCAUUAUUAUAGUAUACUCUGUACUCUCCACAUUUUUAUCAUUACUUAUGUUUUUUGGUUGCUGGGUUACAGGAACUGUUAAUUUUGUGUCACUACCCUGGUUGCACUAACUCGUUGUAUCCGUGUGUGCAGGACAGCUGUUACUGCUUUCGUCGGGAACCGAGACUGCUUGCAGCCGACCCCUGGGCAGGGUGGUGCCUGGACUCUUUUCUCCUCAUCUGCAAUGACAGAUAAAGACAAAUGAUAAGACCCGAGGAGUUUUUCGAGCCAGGCUUCGACACGUCUCUGUGUUCCUUUGAAUGUUACUUAUUUUUGUGUGUUGACCCAUUUAAGAUGGGUCAAAAGGGGGAUUUGAAGAAAAUAUAAUUUGAUCAAACAUUAUUCAGCUUUAAAUAUUGUUCAGCUUUAAAGUUACUGUGCAACUGUGUAAUAAAAAUGUGUGCUCACGACUUUGGCCUUGAGAGCGAUAAGAAGCGAUCGCCUCAUCCUGCAGGCGAAAGAUAUCUGCAAGCGAAGAGACUAGAACACCCAAGGCCGAUUUCCUUUUAUGGAGUUGUUUUUCUGCUAAUGCAGCACUUUCCUCACAACCCCCUCCUGUGUCCGGUUGUCUUCAUUCUCCGCCAGCCUGGUUAAGUCAAUUCCUCCUUAACAUCUAAAAGAACCUAUUUAAUGAAGGAAGACGGGUUCACUUUGUGUUUAAUAUUAUUCUAUUGCUGUUGUUUUUUUUUAUAUCCUUCACA
ensembl:lncRNA